GCUUGUCUCAAAGAUUAAGCCAUGCAUGUCUAAGUAUAAAUCUUUAUACGGUGAAACUGCGAAUGGCUCAUUAAAUCAGUUAUAAUUUAUUUGAUAGUACCUUACUACUUGGAUAACCGUGGUAAUUCUAGAGCUAAUACAUGCAUUAAGGCCCGACUUUUUGGAGGGCUGUAUUUAUUAGGUAAAAACCAAUGUCAGCAAUGACUUACUGGUGAUUCAUAAUAACUUCUCGGAUCGUAUGACCUUGUGUCGACGACGUAUCAUUCAAAUUUCUGCCCUAUCAACUUUUGAUGGUAGGAUAGGGGCCUACCAUGGUGAUAACGGGUAACGGAGAAUUAGGGUUCGAUUCCGGAGAGGGAGCCUGAGAAAUGGCUACCACAUCCAAGGAAGGCAGCAGG
rnacentral:rRNA from 1 species